rnacentral:rRNA from 1 species
AGAGCGAACGCUGGCGGCAGGCCUAAUACAUGCAAGUCGAGCGCACCUUCGGGUGAGCGGCGGACGGGUGAGUAACGCGUGGGAAUAUGCCCUUUGGUACGGAACAACUGAGGGAAACUUCAGCUAAUACCGUAUGUGCCCUUCGGGGGAAAGAUUUAUCGCCAUUGGAGUAGCCCGCGUUGGAUUAGGUAGUUGGUGAGGUAAAGGCUCACCAAGCCUACGAUCCAUAGCUGGUCUGAGAGGAUGAUCAGCCACAUUGGGACUGAGACACGGCCCAAACUCCUACGGGAGGCAGCAGUAGGGAAUCUUGCGCAAUGGGCGAAAGCCUGACGCAGCCAUGCCGCGUGAAUGAUGAAGGUCUUAGGAUUGUAAAAUUCUUUCACCGGGGAAGAUAAUGACGGUACCCGGAGAAGAAGCCCGGCUAACUCGUGCCAGCAGCCGC